rnacentral:sRNA from 1 species
AGAAGAGGAUCUUUCGCUAAAUGCGUACGCGUCCUGUGUACAACGCGAAAGCCACCGCAUCCUGCGGA